rnacentral:lncRNA from 1 species
UCUCUCUCUCUCUCGAUAAGAGCUCUCUGUCUACAUUUCACUGUUGCCCAGUCACCUCUCUGACUUGACCGUCGGAGGGUCCCCGCCGAAGCCGCCUCCGGUCAGUGCGGACUUCAUUUUGCAGGUGCACGCUCCCCGACGAUCGGACGAUGAGGCGAUUGGCCGCAACAAUGUCCACGCCUGGUAUCUUGCUCUUUCCAAAUGAUUCCAACUGCACCCCACUAUUCCUACUUAGGCGCAGUCCUCUCCUUUAUUAUUAACACAUACCUUCUUCGAUAUCUUCAAACAAGUAUCAUAUGGAGAGGGCACCAAAAAUGAAAAUAGAGGGCAGACCUUCUAGUUUGCUAUAUUUCCUUUGAUGCUCA